rnacentral:rRNA from 1 species
CCUACGGGAGGCAGCAGUGGGGAAUAUUGCGCAAUGGGCGAAAGCCUGACGCAGCGACGCCGCGUGAGGGAUGAAGGUCUUCGGAUCGUAAACCUUUGUUUGCAGGGGAGAACGGUCACUGUGCUAAUCAGCAGUGAGUUUACGGUACCUGAAAAGGAAGGAUCGGCUAACUCCGGGCCAGCAGCCGCGGUAAGACGGAGGGUGCGAGCGUUGAUUGGUAUGACUGGGCGUAAAGCGGGCGUAGGCGGUAGGUUAAGGAAAGUGUGAAAUCCCCGCGCUCAACGUGGGAACUGCGGGUGAAGCGGGCAGACUGGAGUGGGUGAGAGGUAAGCGGAAUUCCAGGUGUAGCAGUGAAAUCCGUAGAUAUCGGGAGGAACACCGGUGGCGAAGGCAGCAAUCUGGCACAACACUGACGCUGAGGAGCGAAAGCGUGGGUAGCAAACAGGAUUAGAUACCCCAGUAGUC